AACCCUUAACUCUCUCUCUCUAGCUCUCACUGCUCGGAAUUGGUGAGUCAGUUUCAGAACUCUACUGUUGAAGCAUUUUAAUUUUUGAGGGAGAUGAGAUUGAGAGAGUUCACGCUUUCAAUCCUUCACCGAGAGGUGGUUGAAAACCAUUAUGGAGUGAGCCAAGCUUCUACCUUACUGCAAGACUGAAGUAUUUUGUAGGAGUUCUAGAAUGAAGCAUAGUGCACAGACUUACUGGACAAAGGACUUACAAGAAUUAGCAUUCUUUUACCUAUAUGUUAAUUAUAUUUGUACAUGUUAUUAGUAGUGGACUUUUCACUAAUGGUAGUUAUUUAGGUAUUCAUGGGUGUGAUUAUCAUUGGGGAUACAAUCAUUUAGCAUUCUUUUGCCUAAAUGCUAAUUUAAUUUGUAUAUCUUUCUUUUGGCAUUUGUGGACAAUGACAAAUGGUUAUGUAAUACGUUAUUAAGUGGAUACAUUAAUGCAUAUUAUUCUUGACAUUGACACA